AGUGAACGCUGGCGGUAGGCCUAACACAUGCAAGUCGAACGGCAGCACAGUAAGAGCUUGCUCUUACGGGUGGCGAGUGGCGGACGGGUGAGGAAUACAUCGGAAUCUACUUUUUCGUGGGGGAUAACGUAGGGAAACUUACGCUAAUACCGCAUACGACCUACGGGUGAAAGCAGGGGAUCUUCGGACCUUGCGCGAUUGAAUGAGCCGAUGUCGGAUUAGCUAGUUGGCGGGGUAAAGGCCCACCAAGGCGACGAUCCGUAGCUGGUCUGAGAGGAUGAUCAGCCACACUGGAACUGAGACACGGUCCAGACUCCUACGGGAGGCAGCAGUGGGGAAUAUUGGACAAUGGGCGCAAGCCUGAUCCAGCCAUACCGCGUGGGUGAAGAAGGCCUGCGGGUUGUAAAGCCCUUUUGUUGGGGAAGAAAAGCAGCAGGUUAAUACCCCGCUGUUCUGACGGUACCCAAAGAAUAAGCACCGGCUAACUUCGG
rnacentral:rRNA from 1 species